AACGACUUCCCCACUGUCUCCAGCAUAGACUCAGCGAAAUUGAAUUCCCCGUGAAGAUGCGGGGUACCCGCGGUCAGACGGAAAGACCCCGUGCACCUUUACUACAGCUUCACACUGGCAUUAGGCCGAACAUGUGCAGGAUAGGUGGUGGGCUUUGAAACCGGAACGCCAGUUUCGGUGGAGCCUCCCUUGAGAUACCACCCUUGCUUUGCUUGAUGUCUAACCGCGGUCCGUUAUCCGGAUCCGGGACCCUGUGUGGUGGGUAGUUUGACUGGGGCGGUCUCCUCCCAAAGCGUAACGGAGGAGCACAAAGGUGGGCUAAGCAUGGUCGGACAUCAUGCGGUUAGUGUAAUGGCACAAGCCCGCUUAACUGCGAGACAGACACGUCGAGCAGGUACGAAAGUAGGUCAUAGUGAUCCGGUGGUUCUGUAUGGAAGGGCCAUCGCUCAACGGAUAAAAGGUACGCCGGGGAUAACAGGCUGAUACUGCCCAAGAGUCCAUAUCGACGGCA
rnacentral:rRNA from 1 species